GCGGCAGACGGGUGAGUAACGCGUGGGAAUCUACCUUUUGCUACGGAAUAACGCAGGGAAACUUGUGCUAAUACCGUAUGUGUCCUUCGGGAGAAAGAUUUAUCGGCAAGAGAUGAGCCCGCGUUGGAUUAGCUAGUUGGUGGGGUAAAGGCCUACCAAGGCGACGAUCCAUAGCUGGUCUGAGAGGAUGAUCAGCCACAUUGGGACUGAGACACGGCCCAAACUCCUACGGGAGGCAGCAGUGGGGAAUAUUGGACAAUGGGCGCAAGCCUGAUCCAGCCAUGCCGCGUGAGUGAUGAAGGCCCUAGGGUUGUAAAGCUCUUUCACCGGAGAAGAUAAUGACGGUAUCCGGAGAAGAAGCCCCGGCUAACUUCGUGCCAGCAGCCGCGGUAAUACGAAGGGGGCUAGCGUUGUUCGGAAUUACUGGGCGUAAAGCGCACGUAGGCGGAUCGAUCAGUCAGGGGUGAAAUCCCAGGGCUCAACCCUGGAACUGCCUUUGAUACUGUCGAUCUGGAGUAUGGAAGAGGUGAGUGGAAUUCCGAGUGUAGAGGUGAAAUUCGUAGAUAUUCGGAGGAACACCAGUGGCGAAGGCGGCUCACUGGUCCAUUACUGACGCUGAGGUGCGAAAGCGUGGGGAGCAAACAGGAUUAGAUACCCUG
rnacentral:rRNA from 1 species